UAGAUACUCUCUCCGUCCCAAAAUUCCUGUCUUAGAUUUGUCUAGAUACGGAUGUAUCUAACACUAAAAUGUAACUAGAUACAUCCGCAUUUAGACAAAUCUAAGACAAGAAAUUUGAGACGGAGGGUGUAGAUU
rfam:Triticum aestivum genome assembly, contig: Triticum_aestivum_CS42_TGACv1_scaffold_148055_2BS